rnacentral:rRNA from 1 species
UACGUAGGGUGCGAGCGUUAAUCGAAAUUACUGGGCGUAAAGCGUGCGCAGGCGGCGCGUUAAGACAGGUGUGAAAGCCCCGAGCUUAACUUGGGAAUUGCGCUUGUGACUGGCGUGCUGGAGUGUGGCAGAGGGAGGUGGAAUUCCACGUGUAGCAGUGAAAUGCGUAGAGAUGUGGAGGAAUACCGAUGGCGAAGGCAGCCCCCUGGGAUAACACUGACGCUCAUGCACGAAAGCGUGGGGAGCAAACAGG